AUUGAACGCUGGCGGCAGGCCUAACACAUGCAAGUCGAACGAGUGGCGGACGGGUGAGUAAUGUCUGGGAAACUGCAUGAUGGAGGGGGAUAAGUACUGGAAACGGUAGCUAAUACCGCAUACCAUCGGAUGUUCCCAGAUGGGCUUAGCUAGUAGUUGGGGUAAAGGCACACCUAGGAGACGAUCCAUAGCUGGUCUGAGAGGAUGACCAGCCACAAUGGAACGUAGGCACGGUCCAGACUCCUACGGGAGGCAGAAGUGGGGAAUAUGGCACAAUGGGCGCAAGCCUGAUGCAGCCAUGCAGCGUGUAUGAAGACGGCCUUCGGGUUGUAAAGUACUUUCAGCGGGGAGGCGUUACCCGCAGAAGAAGCACCGGCUAACUCCGUGCCAGCAGCCGCGGUAAUUC
rnacentral:rRNA from 1 species